AGUGAACGCUGGCGGUAUGCCUAACACAUGCAAGUCGAACGGCAGCACAGUACGAUUUUGCUAUUACGGUUGGCGAGUGGCGGACGGGUGAGGAAUACAUCGGAAUCUACUCUUUCGGGGGAGAUAACGUAGGGAAACUUACGCUAAUAACGCAUACGACCUACGGGUGAAAGCAGUGGAUCUUCUGAUCUUGCGCGAAUGAACGAGCCGAUUUCGCAUUAGCUAGUUGGCUGGGUAAAGGCCCACCAAGGCCACGAUCCGUAGCUGGUCUGAGAGGAUGGUAAGCCACACUGGAACUGAGACACGGUCAAGACUCCUACGGGAGGCAGCAGUGUGGAAUGUUCGGCAAUGGGCGGAAACCUGAUCCAGCGAUACCGCGUGAGUGACGAAGGCCUUCGGAUCGUAAAGCCCUUUUGUUGGGGAAGAACAGCUGGAGCUUGAUACCACGCUGGUGUGACGGUACCCAAAGAAUAAGCACCGGCUAACUUCGUG
rnacentral:rRNA from 1 species